AACGGGAAACAGGAAGCGGUGCGCCCGCGCAACCUGUGCUGCCCCCCGCAACGGUAAGCCGCCUGCGACGCGCGCGUCGCGCAUCCCGCCCUCACGGCCACUGUCCUCGCGGAUGGGAAGGCGGCGGGACGGCACGCGGCCAGCCCGGAUACCG
rnacentral:ncRNA from 2 species